rnacentral:rRNA from 1 species
AUUGAACGCUGGCGGCAGGCUUAACACAUGCAAGUCGAGCGGUAACAGAGGUAGCUUGCUAUCUGCUGACGAGCGGCGGACGGGUGAGUAAUGCUUGGGAAUAUACCUUUAGGUGGGGGACAACAGUUGGAAACGACUGCUAAUACCGCAUAAUGUCUACGGACCAAAGGAGGGGAUGCUUCGGCACCUUUCGCCUUUAGAUUAGCCCAAGUGAGAUUAGCUAGAUGGUGAGGUAAUGGCUCACCAUGGCGACGAUCUCUAGCUGGUUUGAGAGGAUGAUCAGCCACACUGGGACUGAGACACGGCCCAGACUCCUACGGGAGGCAGCAGUGGGGAAUAUUGCACAAUGGGCGCAAGCCUGAUGCAGCCAUACCGCGUGUGUGAAGAAGGCUCUAGGGUUGUAAAGCACUUUCAGCGAGGAGGAAAGGUUGGUAGUUAAUAACUGCUAGCUGUGACGUUACUCGCAGAAGAAGGACCGGCUAACUCCGUGCCAGCAGCCGCGGUAAUACGGAGGGUCCGAGCGUUAAUCGGAAUUACUGGGCGUAAAGCGUACGUAGGUGGUUUGUUAAGUUGGAUGUGAAAGCCCAGGGCUCAACCUUGGAACUGCAUUCAAAACUGGCGAACUAGAGUAUGGUAGAGGUGAGUGGAAUUUCCUGUGUAGCGGUGAAAUGCGUAGAGAUGGGAAAGGAACAUCAGUGGCGAAAGCGACUCACUGGACCAAUACUGACACUGAGUACGAAAGCGUGGUAGCAAACAGGAUUAGAUACCCUGGUAGUCCACGCCGUAACGAUGUCUACUAGCCGUUGGGAUCCUUGAGAUCUUAGUGGCGCAGCUAACGCACUAAGUAGACCGCCUGGGGAGUACGGUCGCAAGAUUAAAACUCAAAUGAAUUGACGGGGGCCCGCACAAGCGGUGGAGCAUGUGGUUUAAUUCGAAGCAACGCGAAGAACCUUACCUACUCUUGACAUCCACAGAACUUUUCAGAGAUGAAUUGGUGCCUUCGGGAACUGUGAGACAGGUGCUGCAUGGCUGUCGUCAGCUCGUGUUGUGAAAUGUUGGGUUAAGUCCCGUAACGAGCGCAACCCUUGUCCUUAGUUACCAUCAUUUAGUUGGGUACUCUAAGGAGACUGCCGGUGACAAACCGGAGGAAGGCGGGGACGACGUCAAGUCAUCAUGGCCCUCACGAGUAGGGCUACACACGUGCUACAAUGGCCAGUACAAACGGUUGCGAACCCGCGAGGGGAAGCUAAUCUGAGAAAGCUGGUCGUAGUCCGGAUCGGAGUCUGCAACUCGACUCCGUGAAGUCGGAAUCGCUAGUAAUCGUGAAUCAGAAUGUCACGGUGAAUACGUUCCCGGGCCUUGUACACACCGCCCGUCACACCAUGGGAGUGGGUUGCUCCAGAAGUAAAUAGCUUAACCUUCGGGAGGGCGUUUACCACGGAGUGAUUCAUGACUGGGGUG